rnacentral:rRNA from 1 species
CCUACGGGUGGCAGCAGUAGGGAAUAUUGCUCAAUGGUGGAAACCCUGAAGCAGCAACGCCGCGUGGAGGAGGAAGGUUUUCGGAUUGUAAACUCCUUUUGUUAGAGAAGAUAAUGACGGUAUCUAACGAAUAAGCACCGGCUAACUUCGUGCCAGCAGCCGUGGUAAUACGGAGGGUGCAAGCGUUACUCGGAGUCACUGGGCGUAAAGAGCGCGUAGGCGGGAUAGCAAGUCAGAUGUGAAAUCCUAUGGCUUAACCAUAGAACUGCAUUUGAAACUGUUAGUCUAGAGUAUGGGAGAGGUAGGUGGAAUGCGUGGUGUAGCGGUAAAAUCCAUAGAGAUCAAGAGGAAUACUGAUUGCGAAGGCGACCUGCUAGAACAUCACUGACGCUGAUGCGCGAAAGCGUGGGGAGCAAACAGGAUUAGAUACCCUUGUAGUC